rnacentral:lncRNA from 1 species
UAUCCUUUUAUGAAAUAAUAUAUUAUGAGUAAAUUUCAAUAUUUUUCUUUCUUGACUUUAAAAUAGUAUUAUGUUAAAUAACACCUUUUUAUCUCAUUUUAAAAUAAUGCUUCCAAAAUGAUAGUUCAAAAUAAUUGUUGAAAAUAUAUAGUUGAAAACUAUUAGAUCUUUUUAUUUCAUCUUUGGAGUUCAUAAUAUAUUGUUGAAAAUAAUAAAUUUUUAUUUACAAAAUGAUUUUUUGUUAUUCUCCCCUUUCUUUCAAAUAAUAUAUUAUGAGAUUUUUUUCAAUUUUUUUUUCUUUUUGUGUCUUUAAAAUAGUAUUAUGUUAAUUAACACCUUUUUAUGUCAUUUUAAAAUAAUGCUUCCAAAAUGAUAGUUGAAAAUAAUAGUUGAAAAAAUAGAGUUGAAAACUAUUACAUCUUUUUAUUACAUCUUUUUAUUUCAUCUUUGGAUUUCGUAAUAUAUAGUUAAAAAUAAUAAAUUUUUAUUACCAAAAUGAUUUUUUAUUAUUCUACCCUUUCUUCAAAUAAUAUAUUAUGAGUAAAUUUCAAUAUUUUUCUUUUUUGACUUUAAAAUAAUAUAUUAUGUCAAUUAACACCUUUUUAUUUCAUUUUAAAAUAAUGCUUCCAAUAUGAUAGUUCAAAAUAAUAGUCGAAAAUAUAUAGUUGAAUUCUAUUAGAUCUUUUUAUUUCGUCUUUGGAUUUCAUAAUAUAUAGUUAAAAAUAAUAAAUUUUUAUUUCCAAAAUGAUUUUUUGUAAUUCUACCCUUUCUUCAAAUAAUAUAUUAUGAGUAAAUUUCAAUAUUUUUCUUUUUUGACUUUAAAAUAAUAUAUUAUGUCAAUUAACACCUUUUUAUUUCAUUUUAAAAUAAUGCUUCCAAAACGAUAUUUCAAAAUAAUAGUUGAAAAUAUAUAGUUGAAAACUAUUAGAUCUUUCUAUUUCGUCUUUGGAUUUCAUAAUAUAUAGUAAAAAUAAUAAAUUUUUAUUUCAAAAAAUAUUUUUUUUAUUCUACCCUUUUUUCAAAUAAUAUAUUAUGAGUAAAUUUCAAUAUUUUUCUUUUUUUGAAUUUAAAAGAGUAUUAUGUUAAUUAACACCUUUUUAUUUCAUUUUAAAAUAAUGCUUCCAAAAUUAUAGUUCAAAAUAAUAGUUGAAAACUAUUAGAUCUUUUUAUUUCGUCUUUGGAUUUCAUAAUAAAUUUUUAUUUCCAAAAUGAUUUUUUGUUAUUCUAUAUACUAUUUAUUAAAUAAUAUAUUAUGAUUAGAUUUCGAUAUUUUUCUUUUUUGACUUUAAAAUAAUAUUAUGUUAAAUAACACCUUUUUAUCUCAUUUUAAAAUAAUGCUUCCAAAAUGAUAGUUUAAAAUAAUAAUUGAAAAUAUGUAGUUAAAAACUAUUAUAUCUCUUUUUAUCGUCUUUGGAUUUCAUAAUAUAUAGUUAAAAAUAAUAAAUUUUUAUUUCCAAAAUGAUUUUUUGUUAUUCUUCCCUUUUUUGAAAUAAUAUAUUAUGAGUAAUUAAUUUCAAUAUUUUUCUUUUUUGACUUUAAAAUAGUAUUAUGUUAAUUAAACCUUUUAUUUAAUUUAAAAUAAUGCUUCCAAAAUGAUAGUUCAAAAUAAUAGUUGGAAAUAUAUAUAGUUGAAUAUUAUUAGAUCUUUUUAUUUCGUCUUUGGAUUUCAUAAUAUAUAGUAAAAAUAAUAAAUUUUUAUUUCCAUAAUGAUUUUUUGUUAUUCUACCCUUUUUUCAAAUAAUAUAUUAUGAGUAAAUUUCAAUAUUUUUCUUUCUUGACUUUAAAAUAGUAUUAAGUUAAAUAACACCUUUUUAUCUCAUUUUAAAAUAAUGCUUCCUAAUUGAUAGUUCAAAAUAAUAGUUGAAAAUAUAUGGUUGAAAACUAUUAGAUCUUUCUAUUUCGUCUUUGGAUUUCAUAAUAUAUAGUAAAAAUAAUAAUAAAAAAUUUCCAAAUUUUUUUUUUCUACCCUUUUUUCAAAUAAUAUAUUAUGAGUAAAUUUCAAUAUUUUUCUUUUUGUGAAUUUCAUAGAGUAUUAUGUUAAUUAACACCAUUUUAUUUCAUUUUAAAAUAAUGGUUAGAAAAUUAUAGUUCAAAAUAAUAGUUGAAAACUAUUAGAUCUUUUUAUUUCGUCUUUGGAUUUCAUAAUAAAUUUUUAUUUCGAAAAUGAUUUAAUAUUGUUAUUCUAUAU